rnacentral:tRNA from 1 species
GCUGCCGUGGCCGAAUGGAGCAGGCGCGAGUUUCCUAAACUCGUCGAUGCAGGUUCGAGUCCUGCCGGCAGCU